rnacentral:rRNA from 1 species
CAGUAGCCGCGGGAAAACAGAGGAUGCAAGCGUUAUCCGGAAUGAUUGGGCGUAAAGCGUGCGCAGGCGGUUCGUUAAGACAGAUGUGAAAUCCCCGGGCUUAACCUGGGAACUGCAUUUGUGACUGGCGAGCUAGAGUAUGGCAGAGGGGGGUAGAAUUCUACGUGUAGCAGUGAAAUGCGUAGAGAUGUGGAGGAAUACCGAUGGCGAAGGCAGCCCCCUGGGCCAAUACUGACGCUCAUGCACGAAAGCGUGGGGAGCAAACAGGAUUAGAUACCCCGGUAGUCCCUGUCUCUUAUAA